rnacentral:lncRNA from 1 species
AUUUGCCCUUCUCGUGAUAUUUAACAGAAAUUAGUGUGUAUGACGUAAUUACGUAAGUAAACAAUCACCGAAUUCGGCCCCAAAGUAUCAUGGCGAAUCUUUAUGUUUUUUUUUAGUAAAAUAUACUUACUGUUUUGUCCAAUUUUUAUAUUUCAUGAACAGCUUUUAUUUUUUACAAAAAUAAUAUGUGAUGCCAGCGCUAGCUGUUGAGCUUGAUGAAAACAAAAUUCCACAGGCAGACAAUCAAUUGAGAUGUA